GAAAUGCGAUAAGUAAUGUGAACUGCAGAAUUCAGUGAAUCAUCGAAUCUUUGAACGCACCUUGCGCUCCUUGGUAUUCCUUGGAGCAUGCCUGUUUGAGUAUCAUGAAAUCUUCAAAGUAAAUCUUUUGUUAACUCAAUUGGCUUCUACUUUGGUAUUGGAGGUCUUUGCAGCUUCACACCUGCUCCUCUUUGUUCAUUAGCUGGAUCUCAGUGUUAUGCUUGGUUCCACUCGGCGUGAUAAGUUAUCUAUCGCUGAGGACACUGUAAAAGGUGGCCAAGGUAAAUGCAGAUGAACCGCUUCUAAUAGUCCAUUGACUUGGACAAUACUUUUAUGAUCUGAUCUCAAAUCAGGUAGGGAUACCCGCUGAACUUAAGC
rnacentral:misc_RNA from 1 species